GACGAACGCUGGCGGCGUGCUUAACACAUGCAAGUCGAACGAUGAUGCUGGAGCUUGCUCCAGUUGAUUAGUGGCGAACGGGUGAGUAACACGUGAGCAAUCUGCCCUUGACUCUGGGAUAACUGCGGGAAACUGUAGCUAAUACCGGAUACUUUCACCGGAAGGCAUCUUCUGGUGAUGAAAGAAUUUCGGUCGGGGAUGAGCUCGCGGCCUAUCAGCUUGUUGGUGAGGUAACGGCUCACCAAGGCGACGACGGGUAACCGGCCUGAGAGGGGGACCGGUCACACUGGGACUGAGACACGGCCCAGACUCCUACGGGAGGCAGCAGUGGGGAAUAUUGCACAAUGGGCGCAAGCCUGAUGCAGCAACGCCGCGUGAGGGAUGAAGGCCUUCGGGUUGUAAACCUCUUUUAGCAGGGAAGAAGCGAAAGUGACGGUACCUGCAGAAAAAGCACCGGCUAACUACGUGCCAGCCGCCGCAGUAA
rnacentral:rRNA from 1 species